rnacentral:rRNA from 1 species
CGGAGGUGGCAAGCGUUACUCGGAAUUAUUGGGUGUAAAGGGCAAGUAGGCGGUUUAGUAAGUGGGUGGUGAAAUACUCCUGCUCAACAGGAGAACUGCCUUCCAAACUACUAGACUUGAGUGUGACAGAGGAAACGGAAUUCUCGGUGUAAGGGUGAAAUCUGUAGAUAUCGAGAAGAACACCAGCGGCGAAGGCGGUUUUCUGGGUCACUACUGACGCUAAAUUGCGAAAGCUAGGGGAGCAAACAGAAUUAGAUACUCUGGUAGUCCUAGCCGUAAACGAUGAGCACUAGGUGUUGGCUCCUUUAGGAGUCGGUGCCGCAGCUAACGCAUUAAGUGCUCCACCUGGGGACUACGGUCGCAAGGCUA